AGCCCUGGAUCCCCAGCAGCCGCGGUAAUACGGGCUGGAGAUGCGCGUUAUCGGAUUACUGGGCGUAAAGCGCACGCAGGCGGUUUGUUAAGUCAGAUGUGAAAUCCCCGGGCUCAACCUGGGAACUGCAUCUGAUACUGGCAAGCUUGAGUCUCGUAGAGGGGGGUAGAAUUCCAGGUGUAGCGGUGAAAUGCGUAGAGAUCUGGAGGAAUACCGGUGGCGAAGGCGGCCCCCUGGACGAAGACUGACGCUCAGGUGCGAAAGCGUGGGGAGCAAACAGGAUUAGAUACCCUGGUAGUCCACGCCGUAAACGAUGUCGACUUGGAGGUUGUGCCCUUGAGGCGUGGCUUCCGGAGCUAACGCGUUAAGUCGACCGCCUGGGGAGCAUGGCCGGUUUUAGAAGC
rnacentral:rRNA from 1 species